UGGAAUGGCUAGCUACAGGUACAGCGAAGUUCAACACUACUGCAAUGGUGAGUCCUACAGUUACGGGCGAGGUCGAAUACACAAUUAAUUAUAGACACGAUGCGUCACAGUCUUACUAUCCGGAGCCUUAGGAAGAAAAAUGACUGUGAACAGACGAGGAGGAGUAUAAUUGUCAGGGGCCGACUCAAGACUGGGAUGUGGUCUGGGGAGAACUUAGACAACAUCUUGCUGGAAACACGGCGCAGCUGGGACCUGGAGCUCUGGAUGGGCCGGUAGCACAGCGCACACUGAGCCAGGGGGAUUUCUGAGCAGGAAAAAGAGUUUUUGAGAAAAAGAAGAAUGUGUGGAGAAACCCCCUCCUGUCCCUCACCCCUCCCCACCUACUCAGCGCCCUCUACAGGCCCUCCGGGGUACAACGCUCUGACACAAAACAGCUGUGGGAAUCCAGACCACGUUUCAC